GAGCCACCGUGCCCGGCUGUUCUGUGUUUUUAUCUAUAGGAUCUUACCUAGCCUUAUGGCCUGCUGCCUCUGCCAAUUUAAAAAUAGCUUUGAGGUUGUCUGCAAGACAGUCAAGCUGCAUUGCAACAGUGCAUGUCUGACAAACACCACACAUUGUCUUGGAGAAGCAUCUAUAGGGAAUCCCUGAGGAGCGUUCAUGAAGGUGUUACAAGCCCAGAAGAAGCACAUGAGCACUGAGCUGACUAUUGAGCCGGAGAUGCCUUCAGACGGCAAUGGCAUCAACUUGUUAGGCUUUGGGAGUGAGCAGCUGGACAUCAGUGAUGAAAGUGAUGUUAUCAGUGCACUAAAUUAUAUCUUGCCUUAUUUCUCAGACGGAAAUGUAGAAGAUGUGGAAUCAAUGUUGUUACCGUUCAUUAAACUGCUUUUUUCAGAUUCACAAGAUGGUGACAGGCCCCGGGGUAUUUUGAAAAACAAUACAAAGAGCCCCUCUCUUCAACCUGCAUCCAACAACUCAUCUUAGGAAAAUAAAUUGAGAAAGCUGUAUUUUCAGGAAAAUAUGUUAAUAUGUUACAUGCAGAAAUUCAACAAAAAAUUGAUGAGGUUAAAAGGGAAGAAAAAACUGCUGUGCUUAUGCAGUCCAGCCUUUUAGGUCCCAAUUUUUUAGCUCAGAGUUUUCAGACAAAAUUAGAAACUGCCCAACCACAGGAAAACAACUUGGCAAAGAUUCAAAGUGUAGGCAAAAGCCUGCAGAGAGCAAACAGAGUCCUCAUGGGCCCAAGGAGCAUCCAGAAAAGGCACUUCAAAGGGGGGAAAGCAGAGCAUCAGGAGGGAACAGAGUGCCCAGGCAUUUGUGGAAAACACUGCCAAAGGAAAAAGGCCUGGGAGUGCAGCCCCAAGGGAGCUGAAACAGCCUCACGUGGUACAUAGGCCCGAGAAGUUGGUGGGAGAAGUUAGUCUACACCAAGCCUUCGUUCAUCCAAGAGCAUAAGACAGCGGUCUCCUCUUUGCUGAAACCCUUCUCCAUGGGCGGGCCCUCCGCCUCCACCCUUGCAAAAGCCCUACCUGAGGUCAGAAACAGACCGAAAGACUUAACCUACACCAUUUUGGUUUUAGAAAAUGCAAAGCCUAGAGUUAAAAAUAUGAAGGCUGCUAAACCAUUCAUACAUUCCAGAAAAAAAUACCACCGCUUUCAUAAAACUCGCUCCCGUGUGGUUCAUAGAACACCCAAGCCCAAAAAGAGUCGUAAGUUCAGAAAGGAAAGUUCUCUUAACAGACUAAUGCUCGCGAAGAGGGCUCCGUUCUCUGCAGUGAAGAACCUCAUAAAUUCUCCUUCAAAAGGGGCUUUUUCAUAUUUAGGAGACUUGAGUCCUUUUCCAGAAACAUUUGCUCCUUCAGAACAUUCUAUAGAAAACACUAAGGUUAAAAACACCACUGCAGGAAAUGCCUUUGAAGAAAACAUUCUUAUGGGAAAUUCACCAUCUCUGAAAACACAACCUACAAUAAUCCUCCUGAGGCAGAUUCUGCUGGGACUGCAUUCAACUUAGAGCCAACUGUUAAACAAACCAACGAAACACAAUUGGAAUACAACAACGUGGGCGCUGACCUGUCCCCCAAGUCCAAAAACUUCAAUUACCCAUUGCUCUCGUCCCCAGGUGAUCAGAUUGAAAUUCAGCUAAACCAGCAGCUACAGUCCCCUCAUCCUCAUUUGUCAUGUUAUCUGGAGCUUGAAAGUGGGCUGCUCUGAGACCCGUGUGCAAUUAGCCUGUGCUAAGCUCAUCUUCAGGACAGUCCUCCUGAUGAAGCUUCUCAGUGAACAGCAAGAAGAAAAGGUGUCCAAGGCAGAAUGGGAUACGGACCAGUGGAAAACUGAGAACUAUAUAAACAAGAGCACGGAAGCCCAGAGUGAACAGAAAGAGCAGAAGUCAAGUGAGCUCACUAAAGAAGUUCCAGGAUACGCCUAUAACAACAAACUCAUCUUGGCAAUAUCUGUGACUGUAAUAGUGAUGAUUUUAAUUAUAAUUUUCUGUCUCAUUGAGGUAAAGACAAUAAUUAAUUCAGAUUUUCAGAAUGUAAUCUCGUCUUUGUGUAGAUUCAGAGCCCACAAACUGAAAAUCAAAGCCCCUUUCCCACCUACUACUACUUGACAUUCUUCUUUAGUCGUUUAAGGCUGAGGUAUGCUUUGUUCUUUGACUGCAGUGUGUCUUCCAGAAUUUUUAAAGGGUCCUCACUUCCAGGAGAUCUCUGUGAACUGAAACCAAGUUAAUGCCACUAGGCUGUUUUAAGAAGUUAAGUUGAUAAAUUAGCAAAAUUUCUCUCGCCCAAAACCAUGUCAGCAAUUGAGUGUACUCACCAACUUGUCCUUUCUCUGCCACUAAUUUAUUUCCUUGAAAUGAUGAAUGAUUAUGUCUCAUCAUUUCAGCAUUUCAAGAAAACAAAUUAGCAUUUCAAGGAAAUGCUGAAAUGAUGAGAGACAUAUAAUCUCCACCCUCACGGAGCUGCCAUCACCUUGGAGAGGAAGGACAAGCCAAAAGGGAGAAGUCUCGUCUUGUAGACUUACUAGACUCACUUAGUGUCUUCCUUCUCCAGUGUGUAGGGCGUUGCCUAAAUAGGUCCAGUUAAAGGACUACAGGGUAGCCAUCUUUUUAAAAAGUAGUUGGCCACUUAUUUAAGUUCACAGGGGAGGGGGAAUGUCUCCCCUCCAGCCCUCCUGAGCUCAGGCCCUCUGUGAGAUGUGUCUCCAUUUCUCGGACACCAUAUGAGACAUUCCUCCUCGGAUUAGAGAUGCUCAAUCUGCAUUACAGAUCUAAAGCCUACAUCUGGCUACUCUGGGGCAAAUCCUGUUUAUAGCACCCAUUCC